AAGGACCUGUUGGGGCCAAUUCCCCAGAAGGCCCCAAAAGAAAAGAGAGAUGAGACAAGAUGAGAGGAAAAAGGAAAAGAGAGGAGAGGAGGUCUGGUUUCACAGAGGCUGCCUGUUCUCAGAAGACUCCCGAAGGAUAUGGACGCGGCCCAGAAAGAUAGCCCAGCAUGUUGACAUCCUCUCCCAAGCCGGGGCUUUGUUUACAGAGGCCCUGAAUCGGAAUCCACACAUCCUGAUCUUCCUGUGUCGGCUGUCAAGUUACUGAGAAGGAAGAUGGCAGCCGUGCUCUUUGCGAGGCAGAUCCUGGGCCUCCCGUCCCCUUUCCUCCCUAUCAGCCUGCCUGAAAUCAGUGCCAAGAAAUUAGGGAUCACUUCCUUCACUGACCUGCCCCAGCCCACCCUAGCUCCCUACUCUGGUUGCCUUGUUCCUCCCACCAUGAAAAUGGAAGUUCUCUGAGGGCAGGAGUGGGGUUUUAUCUCUAUUCUAAUCUGCGGGAUAAAUAGAACAGAUAUUGCUAUUGGAAACUGAAUUCUAGAGAAGGUAAGUGACUUGACCAUAGUCAUACAGCUAGCUUGGGGCAGGACUCAAGGACAGUGAAAAGAUGGCUGCCUCUGGAAUCUGAGAACUGGACUGCAGAGAACUAGAAAAGCAUCUUAGCGUCCACUGAUUCCAACCCACUCAUUUCACAGAUAAGAAACUGACACUAAGAGAAGUUAAGUGACUAGCUUAGGGUCAUACAGCCAAGACAUGUCUGAGGUGGGAUUUGAACCCAGUUCUUAACUCCAAGUCCAGCAUUCUAUAACCUACAUCAUGGUAACAGGUUCUGUUCUAUAUGACCCUGAGGCAAGUCACUUAACCAUUGUAAGCCUGUUUUCUGUGCUGUAAAACAAGGGAGUUGGGACAGUCAGUCACUAAAGUCUAUUCUUUCUCUGGCUCUGAUACUAUCAUCUCCGGACUUCCUCUGCUCUAUGCCCUGAUCCUUAUGGUGCUCUAGCUCUCCAGUUGCCUGAAGGAUUCAAGGGAAAUACCAUUCCCUCUGAGAGUAAAGAACAGACAUCUUAGUAACAAAAAGAAAAUGAAAUAAAGAGUAAGUCUCCAUAGCA
rnacentral:lncRNA from 1 species